rnacentral:snRNA from 1 species
GUGCUCGCUUCGGCAGCACAUAUACUAAAAUUGGAACGAUACGGAGAAGAUUAGCAUGGCCCCUGCGCAAGGAUUGUCUCUUA